rnacentral:misc_RNA from 1 species
UUGAAUAAACUUGGUGGGCUGUUGCUGGCCUCCAGUUCAGGGGGCAUAUGUGCACACCUUCCUUUGUUUUUUCUUUCACCACCUGUGCACAUUUUGUAGACUUGGAUAAUCUUUCGAGGCAACUCGGUCGGGAGGCUGUCAACUGAUCUUAGUUGGGCUGUCUCUGUAUUUCCAGUCUACGUUCUUCAUAUACACCACUGUAUGUCAUAGAAUGCAUUAGUAUUUGGGUCCUUGAAAGGCCUAAUAAAUUUCAUA